UCCAAGAUAUUCAUCAGAGUGACUGUCUUUACCCUGUAUUACAAAAGCACUUGGCAUAGAGAGAAGCCCUCCCUGCAAAACAGUUUUGGAGAAGUUGUAUUCUUAGCUCAAAUAAAAGGAAUCAUUUAAUUUGUGGGGCAGGUUAAAGCUCAUCACCUCAGCUCUGACACAAGCUGUGCUCCACUGGGAGCUGCCAGCAGUAAACUUCUUGCAAUCACCUUUGUGCAGAAAAACCUGUGUAAUACUACAGAGCCCUCAGGCCUUCAGGAAACUGCAUCUGUGCAAGACCUGGGACUGGAGGGAGGAUACACCAACACCUGGAAGAUGGAUUUAGGUACAUUCAGGUUCCACGAGGGUUUAAAUGUCCUCUCUAACCUAAUACAGCAGGUGAUUAGUAUGCCCAACACAGCUACACUUGCAAAACUGGCUUCAUUAUAAACCACCCUUUUUUCUUUAUCUCUUUUGUGCUCACGCUCUCAAUUUGUAGUGAAUUUGCAGUUCGAAUAUAAUUUUCCCCAGCUGGUUUGUUGCCAAAAAUAAGUUUUCAUUAUUUCUUUUUGAGUCAGAGCAUAAAAAGCUUCAUCUGUAAUUUGUAGCUGGGGGCAGAAUAGUGUGAGUUACUCAAUUUCAGUGUUUUGAAAAUCAUUCUUGCAGUUUGGAUUUUCAAGAGCUUUUAACAUAACAAAUACCUUAUAUAUUUUUUAAAACUCAUCUAUUAAUAAAGACUAUUAGGC